ensembl:lncRNA
GUAUGUUAGCUAGUUGGAUGCUCAUAUGCUGAUAACCGAUGUAUUGACUCAUAGCUGUAAAAGACUUACCUAGCCAAGGCGCAUGAAUUAUGAGCUACCCAGGAUGUGAGCAGCGCAUUAAACACAGGAUGCACCAUAGACAUCUUAUUUAAAGGUUAGACAUCUCAUGGCGCAGUCACUUCCGGCAUCACCGGUGGCCAUCUUGUCACAGGCAGGCUUCCUGUCGGGCUCUGUGGUACCUAAUAUAAGGUUCAGCCAGGACCACUUGGAGCUUCUCUUCAACUCCAUCAGAGUAUCUGGUAGGGUUCAUAAUUUAUAUUUACCAGCCGCAACACUAAGUGACUUGUAUUGUUUUCAGUUUGUCGGUCCAUAUGUUUUUUUACUUUUGGUAACAUGUGUUUUCUGCAGACACACCUUAACCCUAAGACACACACAAUACCUGGAAGUGUCACAAACCAUUUUGAGUAUUUAGAAAAAUGCCUGUGUUUGACUAUUUGUUUGCAGAACUUAUCAUCACUGAUACAGUCUGAAUUGUAUGAUAAUGUCAUUCAACCUAUUUUAUGUGGAAAGAUCAUUCAGGGGUGGCUAGUUCUUUUUUUGUAAAAAUGUUUUAAGCAUAAAACAUUUUAAAGCAUGUAUUGAAUAUCUGUGUACUAUUCUUGUAUAUCUUUUUUUUUCCUUAAACGAAUAACAACCCUAAUGCCAGCCAGUUCAAGUACAUCUUUAGGAUGUAAAGCUGAUGGCCCAGUGUGGGGUUGUUAAACCAUGCAGAGGCAAUGUGACGGCACAGGAUGACACAGAGUCCCUACCAGCUGUCAUCGACACCUCUACAAGCCUGUCAGCUGUAGAUGUGUCCUCUGCAGCAGGAGGAGAAGAUCUUCCAUCCCCGUUUGCUGACAUUCCUGCCCUAGUACAUGAUCACAGCUACCUUCCCGUCCACUUCGAUGGUCUUGUGGACAACGCUCUCAUGUACAUUUCAGGAUUUGUUGUGCGACAAGCUCUGAAGAAGCUUUCGUGUGAUGUCUGCUGUGCCAGCCUGGUGACAUGCUGCAUCUGCCAUCAAGGACCAGAGCUACCACCUGCUGAUUUUAAAAAAACAAUGGAGGUCUGGUGAUUCCAUCAGAGGGAACCGUGAGUGUCGUCAGGGCAGCAGAGUGGGUCAUUCUGCAGUCAUCAGGCAGUACCAGACGAUCACAGCCCAUCAAACUGCUUGAGGUUGUUUACAUUGUCUGAAAAAGGAUCGGUUCAGAGGAUGUUUGUGUUGGGAUAGACAGUAUGGGAUAGACAUCCACCACCAUAGGCUGUUAAAAAUAAUUCUGUCCCUGUUUUUUAAGUUAAGGCUGCACCACAUCGCCAGAAUUACAAUCCUCAGCUUACAGAGCAACAACAUGCAACAGAAACUUAAUAAAACUGUCCUUUUCAAAGGACAUUAGCCCAAGGUAUGUAUUUUCAAGGUACUGUCCUCUUUUACUUCAACAGUAGUGUAGUGCUCUCUACAGCAUUUAUUUAUUUGUAUAUAUAAAUGAU